rnacentral:lncRNA from 1 species
AGUUUUUGCUUUUUAUCAGCGACACCAUUGUCAUGGACAAUUAAAAAUCACUAUUCUCCAACUUUUCAUCCUCCACAUCUCGGUUUUAGAGAUUUUUGUCCAAUGCCGCCACCCGCUACUUCAAAUUUAUCAUAUGAACCACCUUGAACUCCUUUCCACCAUUGAUAUAUGCCAAUGCACCACCACUUAAAUUCUUCAAUAUUCUUAUCUGCCCACAUAUUUUUCAUUGUACACCUGCCCAACCACAAACCUUUAUUAACACCCUCAAAAACCACCAUAUCUCCACGGU